GACGAACGCUGGCGGCGUGCCUAAUACAUGCAAGUAGAACGCUGAAGGAGGAGCUUGCUUCUCUGGAUGAGUUGCGAACGGGUGAGUAACGCGUAGGUAACCUGCCUGGUAGCGGGGGAUAACUAUUGGAAACGAUAGCUAAUACCGCAUAAGAGUAGAUGUUGCAUGACAUUUGCUUAAAAGGUGCAAUUGCAUCACUACCAGAUGGACCUGCGUUGUAUUAGCUAGUUGGUGAGGUAACGGCUCACCAAGGCAACGAUACAUAGCCGACCUGAGAGGGUGAUCGGCCACACUGGGACUGAGACACGGCCCAGACUCCUACGGGAGGCAGCAGUAGGGAAUCUUCGGCAAUGGACGGAAGUCUGACCGAGCAACGCCGCGUGAGUGAAGAAGGUUUUCGGAUCGUAAAGCUCUGUUGUAAGAGAAGAACGAGUGUGAGA
rnacentral:rRNA from 1 species